rnacentral:rRNA from 1 species
CUUUACUGUAGCCUGAAAUUGAGUUUCGAUUUUCUUUGCGCAGAAUAGGUGGGAGACUACGAAGGCUUUCUUGUGGGAAAGCUAGAGUCGAUCGUGAGAUACCACUCUAAGAAGAUUGAACCUCCUCAUUUUCAACCGUUAGCCGGUGAAAAAACAGUUUCAGGUGGGCAGUUUGACUGGGGCGGUCGCCUCCUAAAAGGUAACGGAGGCGUACAAAGGUUUCCUCAAAUCAGAUAGAAAUUGAUUGAAGAGCGCAAAGGUAAAAGGAAGCUUAACUGUGAGACAAACGAGUCAAACAGAGACGAAAGUCGGUCUUAGUGAUCUGACGUUUUCUGUGUGGAAAGGACGUCACUCAACGGAUAAAAGUUA